GAGUUUGAUCCUGGCUCAGGAUGAACGCUGGCGGCGUGCCUAAUACAUGCAAGUCGAGCGGUAAGGCUUUCACAGAUUAUUUGAUCGGGUUUAUCCUAAGUUUUCUCUGGCUGGAGAAGGCGAUAGAUCGAAUGAUGCGUGAAAGUACACGAGCGGCGGACGGCUGAGUAACGCGUAGGAACGUACCCCAAAGUGAGGAAUAACUCCGGGAAAACCGGGGCUAAUACCGCAUGUGCUCUUCGGAGUAAAGCUUUAUGCGCUUUGGGAACGGCCUGCGUAUGAUUAGCUUGUUGGUGAGGUAAAAGCUCACCAAGGCGACGAUCAUUAGCUGGUCUGAGAGGACGAUCAGCCAGACUGGGGACUGAGACACGGGCCCAGACUCCUACGGGAGGCAGCAGUAGGGAAUUUUCCACAAUGGGGGCAACCCUGAUGGAGCAACGCCGCGUGCAGGAUGAAGGCUUUCGGGUCGUAAACUGCUUUUGUUUGUGAAGAUUAUGACGGUAACAAGCGAAUAAGGGUCU
rnacentral:rRNA from 1 species